rnacentral:rRNA from 1 species
GAAGAACGCAGCGAAAUGCGAUAACUAAUGUGAAUUGCAGAAUUCAGUGAAUCAUCGAGUCUUUGAACGCACAUUGCGCCCCCUGGUAUUCCGGGGGGCAUGCCUGUCCGAGCGUCAUUGCUGCCCUCAAGCCCGGCUUGUGUGUUGGGUCGCCGUCCCCCUCUCCGGGGGGACGGGCCCGAAAGGCAGCGGCGGCACCGCGUCCGAUCCUCGAGCGUAUGGGGCUUUGUCACAUGCUCUGUAGGAUUGGCCGGCGCCUGCCGACGUUUUCCAACCAUUCUUUCCAGGUUGACCUCGGAUCAGGUAGGGAUACCCGCUGAACUUAAGCAUAUCAAUAAGCGGAGGA